AAUAGAGGUUGCGGGUUCGAUGAGUACCCUGUGAUCGGAGUCCGUACUCCCAGGAUCACAGGUCAAAGGCGCCCCCGCCGAAGCUGUUCCGAUGCGGAUCGGAAUUUGCUGGACGCAGUACAAACAGCGCUGCGGCUGUCAUCUUAUCAAGAUGGAGUGCUAUUC
rnacentral:ncRNA from 1 species